rnacentral:rRNA from 1 species
UACAGAGGUCUCAAGCGUUGUUCGGAAUUACUGGGCGUAAAGGGCGCGUAGGCGGCCUUCUAAGUCGAACGUGAAAUCCCCGGGCUCAACCCGGGAACUGCGUCUGAUACUGGGAGGCUUGAAUCCGGGAGAGGGAUGUGGAAUUCCAGGUGUAGCGGUGAAAUGCGUAGAUAUCUGGAGGAACACCGGUGGCGAAGGCGGCAUCCUGGACCGGUAUUGACGCUGAGGCGCGAAAGCCAGGGGAGCAAACGGG